ensembl:lncRNA
GUUUGUUUGAUUAGGUUUGGAGCUAAUGGAUCUUAAAUUUGAUUUAAAACAUCCUGCAGAUACCCUAUAUUAAGAUAGUAUGCGUGAGAGUGCUGGGCAUGGAGUCAGGAAAAUCAUUCUUUUUCCUUGUCAUUGGUUAAUGAUGAAGCACCUAUGCCUCAAACUGAAUUAAAACUAAGGUUUGAUUAGUCUUCCAUCCAGUCUUUUUGUCUGUUUCUGGAUGAUUCCAUGCUUCAUUGAUAUGGAUUAUUCUGCUUUUCCUUGAGAUGGCAGACCAUUUAGAAAAAUGAUGCAUAUGCCAGAAUACUUGCAAAUGGACUCUGACAGUAUACACCACAUGUGGUGCAACGUGUAUAUUAGGAGUGGAAAAAGAGCAAAGAUCUGGCAACCUCAUCUGGCUGGUCCUCCAUGUCUCUAUUGUGGUGUCAGUAUCCACUCUGAUGUCUGAUGGAAUAAACACUUAAGCUUUGGCCCUUAUUGCAUGUUUGAAGUGUGUCCUGGACGAAGGCUGCAUCAACGUGUACUUCACAAGCUGCUGAGUGCUCAUUCUCUUGUCGGCUGCAGUUGUACCCAAGCAACACUUUUGAGUUAAGUGUCAUCUUAUAGCUGUGUUCUACUGACCCUCGAGUCCUCUAGAGUUGACUAUGAGAGGAAAAGGUUUUGGUUGAACUACUGUGUACAUAGGAGUUGAAAAGCUGAGUUUUUGGAAGCUAUUUAUUUGAUAACCAUUCAAGAUGUUACAGUUUAUGGGUGGUUUGGACUUUGCCCCAUAAUUCUUUAUGGUAGCCAUUUUUAUAUGUGAUUUAAGCAGUAUUACAUUUAUUUGACUUUUUUUCUCCAUCGAGCUGUUUAAAAAUAUCAAUUUUCUAUUUAAUUGUAAUCUUCAUUUCAACAUCCUGUAUGCUGAUUUUUAAAAUCCCAUGAUGAAUCUUUUUACCCCCUUUUUAACUCUUAAGUUCAGUG